UACGUAGGGUGCAGGCGUUAAUCGGAAUUACUGGGCGUAAAGCGUGCGCAGGCGGUUUGCUAAGACAGGUGUGAAAUCCCCGGGCUUAACCUGGGAACUGCGCUUGUUACUGGCAGGCUUGAGUGUGGCAGAGGGGGGUGGAAUUCCACGUGUAGCAGGUGAAAUGCGUAGAGAUGUGGAGGAACACCGAUGGCGAAGGCAGCCCCCUGGGCUAACACUGACGCCUCAUGCACGAAAGCGUGGGGAGCAAAC
rnacentral:rRNA from 1 species